rnacentral:tRNA from 4 species
GGGUGCAUAGCUCAGGGGGAGAGCACUUCCUUGACGCGGAAGGGGUCGUAGGUUCAAUUCCUACUGCACCCACCA